AGCGAACGCUGGCGGCAGGCCUAACACAUGCAAGUCGAACGAAGCCUUCGGGCUUAGUGGCGGACGGGUGAGUAACACGUGGGAACGUACCUUUUGGUUCGGAAUAACGCAGAGAAAUUUGCGCUAAUACCGAAUGAGCCCUUCGGGGGAAAGAUUUAUCGCCGAAAGAUCGGCCCGCGUUGGAUUAGGUAGUUGGUGUGGUAAAGGCGCACCAAGCCUACGAUCCAUAGCUGGUCUGAGAGGAUGAUCAGCCACACUGGGACUGAGACACGGCCCAGACUCCUACGGGAGGCAGCAGUGGGGAAUCUUGCGCAAUGGGCGAAAGCCUGACGCAGCCAUGCCGCGUGAAUGAUGAAGGUCUUAGGAUUGUAAAAUUCUUUUACCAGGGACGAUAAUGACGGUACCUGGAGAAAAAGCCCCGGCUAACUUCGUGCCAGCCGCCGCAGUAAGAC
rnacentral:rRNA from 1 species